UAUUAUGGUGGAUUGAAAGGGUGGCCAAUGUUCGCAGAACUGGCCAAGAUGAUGAGAAAACUGUCAACAAAAAUCGAUCAAUGGGGCGUAAAACAGAAGGACCUGCAAAAAUGUAGGGAAAACUUUAUCACGCAGUGAGUAGUUUGAAGAUAACUUGUUUCUUGUGAGGUCUGUCACGUUUGGCAGAAUCCCACAGAGGCUCAUUGACGCGCCUUUUCUUUAAGAAAAAUGCACACCAUGAACUGCAUUGUCCACCGUUUGACGGGAUUCACGUUUGGUACAACGCUCUGAUCUCGAGACAUGAUGCACAACUCCGAUGUACGCCUAAUGUUUCCCAUGUUGUGUCCAAUGUAUGUUGGCCCACCCUACUGGUGUCCGUGCAGUGUGGUUCUGCUUCGUCCGUGCAGUGUGGUUCUGCUUCGUCCGUGCAGUGUGGUUCUGCUUCGUCUGUGCAGUGUGGUUCUGCUUCGUCUGUGCAGUGUGGUUCUGUUUCGUCUGUGCAGUGUGGUUCUGCUUCGUCUGUGCAGGGUGGUUCUGGUUCCGUUUCGUCUGUAUCGUUGGGUUCUGUGCAUUGUGGUUCUAUUGUCUAUGUGACGGGAUUCUGCGCAGUGGUUCUAUUCUGCUCAGUGUGGUUCUAUUGUCUGUGUAAUGGCGUUAUGUGCAGUGUGAUGGGGUUCUGUGCAGUGUGGUUGUAUUCUGUGGUUCCUUUUUGUCCAGCGCUCCAUUUGCCAAUCCAAUGGAUAAUCUCCUUGAGUCAAACAUACAAAUUUCCUUGACGAAUUUUUGCGUUGAUAUAUUUUGAAUUUGUGUAUUUUACCAAGGUCAUCUGAAGAGAUUGGAGGAUUUUUAUACAACUCCGAUGUACGCCUUAUGUUUCCCAUUUUGUGUCCGAUACUUGUUGGCCCACCCUACUGGUGUGCCUGUGCAGUGGGGUUCUGCUUCGUCGGUGCAGUGUGGUUCUGUGCAGUGUGGUUCUAUUCUGUAUAAUUGGUUUUGAUGCAGUGUGUGUGGUUCUAUUGUGUGACGGGAUUCUGUGCAGUUCUAUUCUGUGCCGUGUGGUUCUAUUGUCUGUGUAAUGGCGUUAUGUGCAGUGUGAUGGGGUUCUAUGCAGUGUGGUUGUCGUCUGUGGUUCCUUUUUGUCCAGCGCUCCAUUUGCCAAUCCAAUGGAUAAUCUUUGAGUCAUGCGCACAAAUUUCCUUGACGAAUUUCUGCAUUGAUAUAUUUUGAAUUUGUAUUUACCAAGGCCCUCUGAAGAGAUUGGGCGAUUUUUUACAAACACCGCCAAAGGCAAGUGAAGUUUACCACUUUUCUUCCCAAUUCAUUGAGACCCUGGAGCUUUGAUGGGAUGUUUUCACCAUGUAUAUUUUGUGUUGUCAGGAUUCCCCAACAACCAUCUCGCUAGAUUCAAGUCAGGCUGGCCUUCCUAAUGUGUUCUGAUGACUACAAUGGACGGUCCUGAAGGACUGGAGCUGUGGGUGGAAGAGAGCCUGGAGGGCUCCAGAUGUGGAGGACCGGGAGGCGUCCAGAUGUUGAAGACAGGAAGAUCUGGUCUACAGAUGCGGAGGAUAACAUCCUUUUAAUUUCAUCCUUUUAAUUUCUUUCUUGGUCAAAUUUAGUUUGACUCAUGACAGCACUCUGUACUGGUGACUUGGUGUUAGAUCUUCUGGCUCUGUACUGGUGACUUGGUGUUUGAUCCUGACUGGUGUUUUAACUUUCAGACGUGACCGAUGAGGUGGGCGUUCAUCUGGUGACUGCUCCCAGGAAGAGGGCUAGCUCCUCCUACGGCAAGGGGGCGGUGGCUGGACCCGGACCAGGGGCGGUGGCUGGACCCGGACCAGGGGCGGUGGCUGGACCCGGACCAGGGGCAGUGGCUGGACCCGGACCAGGGGCGGUGGCUGGACCUCGACCUGGACCAGUGGCGGUGGCUGGACCAGGAGCAGCACAGCAGCUUGAAGACGUGGACGUGGACCCUGGUGAGAGGCUUCUAGUCUGGAUUAUGUUUAGACAACAGAUCCAUCUUAAACCGUACUUUCUGCGUUAUGAAGGGACUUCAAGAAGCUCUCAGUCAAGCUUGACAAAUCUACUGUGACAAAUGUUGUCCAUCACUGUUCUUAUGGCCAAGAAGUAAAGGUUUUAGUGAGUUUUCUAAUGCUGCACGGGUUGCUGUCCAUCAUGCUCUUUCAUGGCCUUCUUUAUCAUUGUUUAAGCAUGCACUAACCCUAACCUUCACGUUAUUAUUUCUGCCUCAGGGCUCAAAGUUUCUUCAUCUUUAAGAGGACGGACGACCUGGUGGCCGACAGGAGUAGAGGGACACCGCUGGCAACUAACCCUAGACCUAGACCACCUAAACUAGACUUAAACCAUCUAACCCCUCAACCUAAACUAGACUUAAACCAUCUAACUCCUCAACCUAAACUAGACUUAAACCAUCUAAUCCCUCAACCUAAACUAGACUUAAACCAUCUAACCCCUCAACCUAAACUAGACUUAAACCAUCUAACCCCUCAGCCUAACCUAGGACCUAAACUUAACCAUCGGUAACCUAGGACCUAAACUUAACCCUAAACCGUACCAUUUAAAACAUCCUUAAUUAUUCUUAAUCACUUCGCAAUAUUAAACUAGCUUACCAAUAUUAAACUAGCUCACCCUAAAGCCUAACGUGUCCCUCGGUCUGUCCUGCAACAGACGGUGCAGAGAACCAGCUCCUGUUGUCGACCCAAACAAGUCUACUGGAGCAGUGACCUCCGCCCCAGCAUGACGACCCUGGGAUCCAACGACACACCUGUAUGCACCCAUGUGUACCAAACCCACCUAUUGUACUCCUUACACCCCUAGAAUCACACAUUCACUGGGAUUACACUGAUUUACUUCAUCCAG